ACCAGCAGCCAUAUCACCCUGCAGCCCAAGACUGGUUGCCCGCUGAAGCUAAGCAGGGUUGAGCCUAGUCAGUACCUGGAGGUGUUAGUG
rnacentral:rRNA from 1 species